GACGAACGCUGGCGGCGUGCCUAAUACAUGCAAGUAGAACGCUGAAGAGAGGAGCUUGCUUUUCUUGGAUGAGUUGCGAACGGGUGAGUAACGCGUAGGUAACCUGCCUUGUAGCGGGGGAUAACUAUUGGAAACGAUAGCUAAUACCGCAUAACAAUGGAUGACCCAUGUCAUUUAUUUGAAAGGGGCAAAUGCUCCACUACAAGAUGGACCUGCGUUGUAUUAGCUAGUAGGUGAGGUAACGGCUCACCUAGGCGACGAUACAUAGCCGACCUGAGAGGGUGAUCGGCCACACUGGGACUGAGACACGGCCCAGACUCCUACGGGAGGCAGCAGUAGGGAAUCUUCGGCAAUGGGGGCAACCCUGACCGAGCAACGCCGCGUGAGUGAAGAAGGUUUUCGGAUCGUAAAGCUCUGUUGUAAGUCAAGAACGAGUGUGAGAGUGGAAAGUUCACACUGUGACGGUAGCUUAACAGAAAGGGACGGCUAACUACGUGCCAGCAGCCGCGGUAAUACGUAGGUCCCGAGCGUUGUCCGGAUUUAUUGGGCGUAAAGCGAGCGCAGGCGGUUUGAUAAGUCUGAAGUUAAAGGCUGUGGCUCAACCAUAGUUCGCUUUGGAAACUGUCAAACUUGAGUGCAGAAGGGGAGAGUGGAAUUCCAUGUGUAGCGGUGAAAUGCGUAGAUAUAUGGAGGAACACCGGUGGCGAAAGCGGCUCUCUGGUCUGUAACUGACGCUGAGGCUCGAAAGCGUGGGGAGCGAACAGG
rnacentral:rRNA from 1 species